UACGGGGGGGGCAAGCGUUGUUCGGAAUUACUGGGCGUAAAGGGUUUGUAGGUGGCCGAUUAAGUCAUACGUGAAAUCCCUCAGCUUAACUGGGGAACUGCGUCUGAUACUGGUUGGCUUGAGUGCAGGAGAGGAACGCGGAAUUCCAGGUGUAGCGGUGAAAUGCGUAGAUAUCAGGAGGAACACCGGUGGCGAAGGCGGGUCUCUGGGCAACAACUGACGCUGAGGAGCGAAAGCGUGGGGAGCGAACAGG
rnacentral:rRNA from 1 species